GUAUAGAUAGAAUUUCAAGCUCUUUAAAUAGAGCACAAGCAGUGUGUACCAUCACAGGUAAACUUCAACAUUUCAUUAUUCAAAUGGAUACACAACUGGUUAAAAAAAUUACUUAUCCUUAAUAACAUCCGUUUAAUAACUUUAAUUAUUUCAAAGGGACAUUCUAAGUACCAUGACCACUAAAACUCAUGAGUUUUGGAGGUUAUGGUGCUUGAAGUCUAAUUGCCACCACCCGGAAAUGCCACCACCAUGUCUUCUUUUAAAUCAUUGUGCUGCAGAUUGACCAAAACCACAGAGUAUCCACAAAAACAUUGCAAAACCCACUGCGCUAAUAAGUUAUCAGCUCAAACCUGUCCAACCUUGGACAUCAAUAAUAGUGCCAAGCAAACCUAGAGUAAUGGUUCUUAACCUCUGGGUCAAGAAUCUCCAUUCAACAGUCAGAUCAUAUUUAUCAUGUUCCAAGGUGCGGCCAACAAUGACUGCACACACGUAAUUGUGCAGAACGAGUGAUGCAUGUCCCUUUAAGAAGGAACAAUUAUGGAUAAUGUUUACU